AAGAUCACCUGAUGGAGCUUGUUAGGAAGGGAAAGCAAAUGAGAAGAGAAACAAGGAACGUUUUUGCAAACUUAGAUGAUGAGAAUGAGUAUUUCAAUCAAAUGGGUGGCGAUGACUACUUUGAACACUAUGAUGGUUUGGAUAAAUUGUUUGAAGUUGAAGACUUUAAAUCAGGGAAUGGCACAGAUGAUGAUGGAGAUUUUGAUUUUGAUGAUGGCUCUAACAGUGAUGAAAGCACCAAAUUAUGGGCUAUCCAAGAU
rnacentral:misc_RNA from 1 species